rnacentral:lncRNA from 1 species
UUUUUUUUUUUUUUUUUUUUUGGUUUUUGGAGACAGGCUUUCUCUGUAUAGCCCUGGCUGUCCUGGAACUCACUCUGUAGACCAGGCUGGCCUCAAACUCAGAAAUCCGCCUGCCUCUGCCUCCUGAGUGCUGGGAUUAAAGGUGUGUGCCACCAUGCCUGGCUUGAUAUAUUCUAUUUUAAUCAUGUAAUUGCAUUUCAUAAAGCAUAUGAAACUCUACAGAGUCUGAACGGUCCUCCAACUACUUUGGCCUUCUUCAGACACCAGAACACUUUGGUCAUUAUUACUCACAGGCUUCACUUGUACUUGGCAUCUAUGGUAGGAAGCUGACAAUACAGUUUCAAGUCAUAGUGGAAGCUGCAGUGGCUCUCACAGGCUACCUAGAAGCUUCCUAACCACCUAGUUAACACAUACAUUGCUGGACGCCAUCAGAAUUCAGAUGGAGCAGUUUUGUAGUGAGGUUGAGGAUUAAACGUCUAAGAAGACACUGGAUCGGCGUAGCCAGCCAUGUGUCUUACAUAAAGAAACAAGCCUAUAAAAUAAGAGUAGUUGGUUAGGUCUAUUUGUUUAAUAAAGUUUCCUCUAAGUUUAGCAGAUAUUUAAAAUUUACUAUGUCUGUAGCUUGGGUAAGCUUGCAUGGAUGAUAAAACUGGCCAGUAUACUCUUUGAAGCCUGAAUUGUAUGAUCUGUUCUGAGUUAGUAAUUCCUUUUGCUUCUAAUUAUAUUACCUUUGUUAGAAAAUGGUUGUCGUACAACAGUUUGUCUUUUUUGCUUCACAGUGCUGUCUUCCUGGAAAAACAAAUCUCAUAUGUUAAGAUUGUGGGAAAUAUAAUGACUUAGCAUUAUAUGUGUGUGUUUUAGAGGCAUUUAUUGAGCACACUGCUUGAAGGCAGACAGCUGGGUUGUAACUAAUGUAAUUUAAUAUAAUUUGCAAAGUCUUUUUUAAAAAUUUACACAGUCUUUGAUGAAAGAAUUUUAUUUACAUUUUCCUCUCAGAUUGUCCAGUUUAUUGUUACAUUGGUUCAGAAUAAUCAACUUGUGAGUUUAAAACGUAAAAGGUAAGUUUUUUGAGUUUUGGCUUACAAACAUUUAAGUGUUGAAUCAUGAAUACCUAUUUGCUGAGUGUAUGCCUGGUACCAAAGAACAGCUUUCCCUUGUUAAAUUAUGUUAGCAUUUCAAGAAUAGUCUUAACAGGGUGAGGAUCCCUUUCCACAAUACUUAGGAUAGUAGAAAUAUUUGAGAAUUUGGGGGGAUAUUUACAAGCCUAUGAAUCACCAGUGAUGAAAUUUAUGUCUGAGUUCAAAUGUUUGUGUUUUGUGUGCAUGCAGUCUGAAAGUAAUUACAUAUAAUAUCUUUAAUAAUUUUGUACAUAAGGUAGUUUAGUCAUAUAGCUAAAAGGGCUCAGAAGAUUUUCAUCUCAUAGGCCCUUAGUUCACCAUGGCCCAUCACAUAAGUAUGAGUGAAUUUUCCAUUUGUGCAGUAUCAUCAUAAUAAGGUUACACAUUUUGGAUAUAUGCACCCUGUUUGUCUUCUCAUUGUCAUCCUUGUGAUGAUCUAUUGUCAUCUCCCCCACCCCCCUCCCCUGUUAUAGGGCCUUACCUAGAUACCUGGAAGUCGCCUCAAACUCACCAGCUCCUAGUCUGCCUCCUGGGUGCUGGGGUUGCAGAUAGCACUGCACUCUCUGCUUCCUGCUUAUGUUUGUAAGCUAGGCCAGGUGGUCACUUUUAGUAGCCUUGCAGAAGUUACUGAGUUUUCAUUCAUGUUACCAGUUUAAAGUAGCAUUAAAAGGCCCCAGUGAGGAGAACUCUUUAAAAAUAAUGUUGUGAGGAAGGAGAGAAUCAGAUAUUUGGUUUACUUUAAAUUUAGUAGACUUGAUAAUUUAAAAUCCUAAUGAUAGGUGGUAAUGCAUAUAAAUAUGUUAGCUAUUGGUGACAUUGUCAUAUCUGAACUAGAAGAAUAAUUGACAAAGGCAUAGAUGGAAGGAGGAAAAGGUGAGCUAUAAGGCUAAGAUUUUGACAGUUUAUACAUCUAAGUCUGUGGCUUUAAUUCUAUUGCCUUUUAUUCUGUGAUACUACUGUUUUAAAAGCUAGGUAUACUUUGUAUGGAGUUGAAUAGUUCUAAAGAAUUUCUAUUGUAUACUUAUUGAGAGCUUUCAUUCACUAUUGAAGGAAGUAUAUGAGUAAAUUAGUAGAAACCUUUUAUUCUUUCAUUUUUGGGGUGAAAUUAAAUAUUACAAUUCUUAUUUACAGGCCUCUACUUCUAAACACAAAUGGAGCCCCAAAGAAGAAUCUAUAUCAGCACAUAGUCAAAGAACCAACUGAUAAUCACCAUCAUAAAGUAAAUUUUAAUGCAUUUUAUAUUUAUUGUCUCAAACUAAAUUUUAUUGUGGCAGUGUUUCAUGCAGUCAGAGCCGUUUAGUGAAUAAUGUAAGUGCUCACUCCCCAGCUCUGCCGCGUUGUGACAGUUCCGUUAUUUGCUGUCAGGUAUUUUAAGAAACAUCGUUACAAUACAGUUGCUUAUUUCCCAGCUUUCUAGUUGUCAUUGCCAUGCUGUUUUGUGUGGUACAUUCAGAACUAUGACUGUUAUUCUGUGGAUAUCUACACAUGCCAGUGGUGAUGAUAUUUCAGUACUGUGCAAUGUGGACUGCAUGAAGUUUACCAGGGAGCUCUACCUCAACAGCGUGGCCUUAUGUAGUUUUUAUAGUGCUGUAUAAGGUGAAGAGUGAUGCGGUCAUCAUAGUGUAACAUGAUUAUGGAAUUUUCUUUUCAUCUACCAUGUGCCAACUAGAGUGCUUUUCUCUAGCAAUUUCAGAAUAUUUGUGCAUGAUUUUGUUUUUGCUAUAGACUAUAUAAUUUGUUAACAUCUAAUUGCAGAUUAGUCUACCAUCAAACACGUUGUGCCUUUUUUUUUAUGAUACUGCUCUCUCUCUCUCUCAUUGAUAAUCUCCUUUUUCUUUUUUGAUGUACUAGAGAUCAGAGCUGAGUUUUUGAACAGUAAGGCAAAUGCUGUCCUACUAAAUUACUCUUAUUUUGAACUGUUAGAAUUUUCAAAUAUUAUGUCACAUUAACUGUUGGGCUGUUGAAGUUUUGUUUAUUUUACCCCCCCAGGACAGUGUUAACUUCAUCAUAUCUCAGUGUUCAGCCCCUUUCUCUUUCUAAACCAAGUAUAUAUUGUAAACCUGUGUGGCAUGGGUGUUGGGUUGAAAGCUUAUAUAAAGUAGAUGAAGGUUUGCUUUAGUUUAACUGAAAUUUAUGUAUCUUUAAAGUGUUUCAUAUGUUUUAGAUUUUUUUUGUUUAACUAGUGUUUAUAUAUUUAAAACAUUUUACUUCUCUUACCUGCGUCAUCUAUUGUUGAAACUUAAACUUCUUUUACAUUAUAGUAAUUACUUGCUUGGUUAGAGAACUUGACUUCCUAAUGUAACUGUCCUGAGUGCACCCAUACAUUUUAUUUUUCUUUUGGUGGUCCUGGGUAUCAACCCUAGGCAAGCACUUACACUGAGUUCUAGUCCCAGCUACCCUUUUUCAUUUUGUGAUGGGAUUCCACCAAGCUGUCUAGGCUGCUCUUGAACACUCUGUAGCCCAGGUGGGCAUUGAACUGGACAUUUUCCUGUGCCAGCCUCUUGAGUAAUUGGGAUUAUGGGCCUGCACUGUCAGACCUGUGUAUCUACAUUAUAACAUUAUAUAUAACAUUAUAACACAAAGCAGCUGCUGGUGAAGUAGCCAGUGGCCUCUAACUGUGGAAUUGUUGAAGUGCUGUAUCUCUCCCAGUGAAGGGCUUUAAUGACUAAGAACAAAACCUCCUGAGACACACACAGCAGGUUCAGAUUAGAACAGCCACUGCCAGGGAUAAUCGCAAUGGCUGUGCGAUUAUAAUUGAAAUUUCCGAAGGUCUGGACUUGUUCAUUGUUUAUCUAUUUAAAAAAUACUUAGGAAUUUGAACAUCUCCAUGGAAAAACACACUUUGGGUAUGUCAUUCAUCUUCAGGGUCUCUUAUAAUAAAGUAAUUUGUUAAGUAGAAUAUGGGUAUAUGCUUAAUAGCUCUGUAAAAUGAUAUCAUAUGUCAUUAGACUGUGAGUCCCAGAAGGACUGAGGACAAGCAGUUUUGUUUACUAUUGAAUCCUCAACAUAUUUAGUAGACAGGAUGAGUCUAUUUUUUUGCUGAUAAAUUUUGUAGUAGUCCAUGUGUUUUGUUUUCUCCCAAUUCUUUAGGUUCCACACAGCAGGACUGAAGGUUUAAAGUCAAGAGAACGGAUUUCAGAUGACAUAAUUAUUUAUGAUGUUACUGACGAUAAUGUGGAUGAAGAAAAUAUUCCAGUUAUUCCAGAAACAAAUGAGGAUGUUGUAGUGGAUUCCUCCAAGUAAGGAAUCAUGAGAUAAAAUUUGGGAAAAUAUUGGCCAUUUUUCUUAUGAAAUAAUAGAAAAGCCCUGGUUUUGUUUGUUUGUUUGUUUUUAAACUAAUUUUUCUCAUAUUUGGUUUGGAGUACUAAUCUUUUUCACAUAUUUGGAAUUAUUGACCCAGAUAACUACC